AAUAUAUCUCGACACAUUCUUGACGGUCUCAAAGAUGUUUUGACACUAUCUCAACAGUAUAAAUUUUGCCUGAAAUGUGUACAGGUACAUGCACUGUUUAUGACUGUCUAUUGAUGUUAUAUACUCCUUUUUAUUAUCGCUUAACUAAACUUUGAAGAAUCAAGGAUUACCUAUUUAUGAUAAGCUCUCCUUUUGGUGCACCUAAGUGGGAAUACCCCAAAUGACCCCCAAUUAAUUUAGAUUUUUUUUAUAAGCGUUUAAUUAAUUGUUUUCACUUGCAAUAUGUGUUAAAGUUACUGACAAAUUUAAAAAGCAUUUCGAUUUUGCCGUUGGAAAAACUUUCAGACAAAUUUGCUUUACUAAAAUGGGUGACUUGUGGCAGUUUUAAAAUGUGUCUCUUUUGGAGCCCACAAUUCAUCUUGUGCGUGUGUGUGGCUUAAAAGGGGAAAGGGGAGAGGGCUUUCAUUUGGGUCAAAGAAUUUGUUCCCAUCUUGAUUCAAAAACUUAUUUAUUUUUUUAGAACAACCAAAAAUAUUUUUUAUUCAAAAUUGAGUGUUGAAUUUCAUAAUUGUUUUAUCAAAACUUAAUAUUUGUGAUAACUCCCUCCUGUUUUUUCUUUCCUCAAAAAUUAUUAGAAAAAAAAUAUGUUUAGAUCUAUAUUAUGCAUGUCUGUUUGAGAUUCAUUUCAUAAAUAAAGGCAACAGUAGUAUACCGCUGUUUGAAAUUCAUAAAUCUAUAGAGAAAAAUCAAAUCCGAGUUACAAACUAAAACUGAGGAAAACCGGUAUUUGAUUUAUCCACUAACAAAUGCCAAACUAUCAAUUAAGUAUGAUUACUUCUGAAAAAACCCCCGAGGGAAACGCAUCAAAUAUGAGAGAACUACGACACAACAGAAACACAACAUUUAAAUGUAACACACACAAAAACUAACUAUAUAAGACCAAUGCUUUCUAUAGAAAUCACAAUGGGACCCUUUAUAAAUACAGUUUUCUAUUAUUCCCGGAGAAGACAAUAAUUUUCUCUUAAUCUUUGGGAAAUUAUUCAUAUUGUUUUCAUGUUAAAACAAUUCACUUCAUAAUUUUGAUAAAGAAAAUCCAUUUUAAUCGUGUACCCUGGAGUGGGGAAUACCGUAAUUUAAUAGGGAACAUCCUGUCCACUUGUAAUACUUAAUAUAUAUUCCAACAGAUGACAUUACACAAAUUUUCUUCUGUUAAAUCAAGGAUUUGUAUAGUAAGACUUUACAAAUCCUUGAAAGAAUUAGGAUACCAUCAUUCUUUGCUAUUUAUAAAAACCAC
rnacentral:lncRNA from 1 species